rnacentral:lncRNA from 1 species
AUUUUUUUGAGAUUUCUGGAAACUUACCCAACUAUUCAGAAAACCCUUUUCUCUUGCUUUUCAGUAGCCUCAGACACCUCUUCUGCACCAUUUAAUAUCCUCUCAGCUUCACUAUUUCGGAUGCCUUGGAUCACUUGUUCCAGUCCUAUACCCUGUAACAACCAACGCCAUGCAACCACAAUUCAACAGUGCCUUGCCUCAUGCCUGAGCUGGUUGGUACCACUUAGCUCUUGUCCAGGAGAUUCACUCUUGACAAUGAGGACGAAGUGCAGUGCCUGGCAUCCAGCAAGUGCUCAAGAGAUAUUGGUGAAUGAGUUACUGAAUGCAUAAAUGAAUGCAACAGCUGGAAGGGCCAAGAGAUAAUCUAACACAGGCAUUACACUGGUAAGAAAUGACUCCCAAGAAAGUGACAGUAACUCGCCCAAGAACAUAAUCAUAUUAAUGGUAGAAGCAAGAUAAGAACUUAGCUGACAUCUUUUUAAAGUAUGCCAUGUUGGGGCCAGCCCAGUGGCAUAGCAGUUAAGUUCGUGCACUCUCCUUUGGCUGCCCAGGGUUCACUGGUUUAGAUCCCAGGCGCAGACCUGGUUAUCAAGCCAAGCUGUGGCAGGAGUCCCACAUAAAGCGGAGGAAGCUGAGCACAGACGUUAGCUCAGGGCCAAUCUUCCUCAAAA